rnacentral:ncRNA from 1 species
CAGUGGGAACAAGCCCACUCGAAUAGUUGAUGGUUAGAUUCGAUAGCUUGGCGAGCAGGUACACCUGGUAACGGGGGUAUCUGAAACCUCGCGACGAAAGUCCACGGAAAGGUGGGCGAGCAACCUGGCAGGCCGUAACGUGU